CUUCUCACCCCCGUCUGCUAUCUCUCUCCGCCUCUCUCCCGAGGAGGCGAUGCAGGCCGCCAGCCAUGGCGGCGCGGGACGAACGCCCCUCCCCCGAUGCGGCGGUGUGGAGCCAGUGCGGCGGCGCUGGGGCGAGCACGCCCCCUAGCAGCGGCGCAGGGCGAGCGCCUCCCCUUUCCCGGUGCGGUGGCGCGGCGGCGCCCCACAGGCGAGUGCGCCCUGGCCCCAGGUGCGGCCUCUCUCCCUUCCUUCUCCUCUCCUUACUUCACCGGCUCCAGAGUCGAGCGCAGCGCUGGCGUGCUCCGUAGCGGUGGCUGUCGCCGGCGACGGAACGGCGCGACCGAACCCUAGAAUUCAGAUGCUGCAUAGCUUGCAGAGACCCUUAUACAGAAUAACUGUAAGACCAAGGUCGUUGGUGUGCCAGUUUCAUUGAAUGGUGACCUCAAGAACCAGUUCGUUGAAACAACAGUUGGAUUUGAUACAGUGUGCAAGGUUAAUUCACAGCUUGUAAGCAAUGUUUGCCUCGAUGCAAUCUCAGCUGGAAAGGUUAAUUCCGCUCAUAUUUGUACCUCUUCAACAUGGUGAGAAUGAGCUUAGAUGCAGAGUGGUGUAGCAAGAGGAUCAAAAUGCUCAUGGUGGCUAUUUUCGAAAGAUUUUGUUAUGCAAGCAAAUCAUAUGAGUUGUGUUGUGCAAGCUACCCUCUUAGUUUUGUAGGUACUUGCGUGUAGCUUGCUUAUUGCCUAUGUAUCUCCUAUGAAAAAUUGUACAAGUACAAAUGUUGAUGGUUUCAAUGAAAAGAUGAGCAAUAUUUUUGUCAA